rnacentral:rRNA from 1 species
GACGAACGCUGGCGGCGUGCUUAACACAUGCAAGUCGAACGAAGAGCGAUGGAAGCUUGCUUCUAUCAAUCUUAGUGGCGAACGGGUGAGUAACGCGUAAUCAACCUGCCCUUCAGAGGGGGACAACAGUUGGAAACGACUGCUAAUACCGCAUACGAUCUAAUCUCGGCAUCGAGGAUAGAUGAAAGGUGGCCUCUACAUGUAAGCUAUCACUGAAGGAGGGGAUUGCGUCUGAUUAGCUAGUUGGAGGGGUAACGGCCCACCAAGGCGAGGAUCAGUAGCCGGUCUGAGAGGAUGAACGGCCACAUUGGGACUGAGACACGGCCCAGACUCCUACGGGAGGCAGCAGUGGGGAAUCUUCCGCAAUGGACGAAAGGCUGACGGAGCAACGCCGCGUGAGUGAUGACGGCCUUCGGGUUGUAAAGCUCUGUUAAUCGGGACGAAAGGCCUUCUUGCGAAUAGUGAGAAGGAUUGACGGUACCGGAAUAGAAAGCCACGGCUAACUACGUG